UCGAGGAUCUUCGGCAAUGGGCGCAAGCCUGACCGAGCGACGCCGCGUGUGCGAUGAAGGCCUUCGGGUUGUAAAGCACUGUCGAGGGGGAGAAAAGCCGCAAGGCAUGAUCGACCCCUGGAGGAAGCACGGGCUAAGUUCGUGCCAGCAGCCGCGGUAAGACGAACCGUGCGAACGUUGUUCGGAAUCACUGGGCUUAAAGGGCGCGUAGGCGGGCAGGCAAGUCAGGGGUGAAAUCCCACGGCUCAACCGUGGAAGUGCCUUUGAUACUGCUUGUCUGGAGGGAGAUAGGGGCGUGCGGAACUUCCGGUGGAGCGGUGAAAUGCGUAGAUAUCGGAAGGAACACCGGUGGCGAAAGCGGCGCGCUGGAUCUCUACUGACGCUGAGGCGCGAAAGCCAGGGGAGCAAACGG
rnacentral:rRNA from 1 species